rnacentral:rRNA from 1 species
GACGAACGCUGGCGGCGUGCCUAAUACAUGCAAGUCGAACGCAUUUUCUUUCACCGUAGCUUGCUACACCGACAGAAAAUGAGUGGCGAACGGGUGAGUAACACGUGGGUAACCUGCCCAUCAGCGGGGGAUAACACUUGGAAACAGGUGCUAAUACCGCAUAAUUCCAUUUACUGCAUGGUAGAUGGAUGAAAGGCGCUUUUGCGUCACUGAUGGAUGGACCCGCGGUGCAUUAGCUAGUUGGUGGGGUAACGGCCUACCAAGGCUGCGAUGCAUAGCCGACCUGAGAGGGUGAUCGGCCACACUGGGACUGAGACACGGCCCAGACUCCUACGGGAGGCAGCAGUAGGGAAUCUUCGGCAAUGGACGCAAGUCUGACCGAGCAACGCCGCGUGAGUGAAGAAGGUUUUCGGAUCGUAAAACUCUGUUGUUAGAAAAGAACAAGGAUGAGAGUGGAAAGUUCAUCCCUUGACGGUAUCUAACCAGAAAGCCACGGCUAACUACGUG